rnacentral:rRNA from 1 species
UACGUAGGUGGCAAGCGUUGUCCGGAUUUACUGGGCGUAAAGGGCGCGUAGGCGGCCAUUCAAGUGACGGGUGAAAGCCCUCGGCUUAACCGAGGAACUGCCUGUCAGACUGGAUGGCUUGAGACCGGGAGAGGUGAGUGGAAUUCCCAGUGUAGCGGUGAAAUGCGUAGAUAUUGGGAGGAACACCAGUGGCGAAGGCGGCUCACUGGACCGGAACUGACGCUGAGGCGCGAAAGUGUGGGGAGCAAACAGG